CCUUCGAUAGCUCAGUUGGUAGAGUAAUUGACAAUCAAUCCAUAGGUCGCUGGUUCAAAUCCGGCUCGAAGGA